rnacentral:rRNA from 1 species
AGACGACGAGGCAGCAGUGAGGAAUAUUGGUCAAUGGGCGCGAGCCUGAACCAGCCAAGUCGCGUGAGGGAGGACGGCCCUACGGGUUGUAAACCUCUUUUGCCGGGGAGCAACGGGCGCCACGUGUGGCGCCACUGAGAGUACCCGGAGAAAAAGCAUCGGCUAACUCCGUGCC